rnacentral:rRNA from 1 species
UACGUAGGGGGCAAGCGUUGUUCGGAUUUACUGGGCGUAAAGGGCGCGUAGGCGGCAAUUCAAGUCAUCUGUGAAAUCUCCGGGCUUAACUCGGAACGGUCAGAUGAUACUGCUUUGCUAGAGUGCAGAAGGGGCAAUCGGAAUUCUUGGUGUAGCGGUGAAAUGCGUAGAUAUCAAGAGGAACACCUGAGGUGAAGACGGGUUGCUGGGCUGACACUAACGCUGAGGCGCGAAAGCCAGGGGAGCAAACGGG